rnacentral:rRNA from 1 species
GACGAACGCUGGCGGCGUGCCUAAUACAUGCAAGUUGAGCGCUGAAGGUUGGUACUUGUCCCAACUGGAUGAGCAGCGAACGGGUGAGUAACACGUGAGUAACCUGCCCUUGACUUUGGGAUAACUUCAGGAAACUGGGGCUAAUACCGGAUAGGAGCUCCUGCUGCAUGGUGGGGGUUGGAAAGUUUCGGCGGUUGGGGAUGGACUCGCGGCUUAUCAGCUUGUUGGUGGGGUAGUGGCUUACCAAGGCUUUGACGGGUAGCCGGCCUGAGAGGGUGACCGGCCACAUUGGGACUGAGAUACGGCCCAGACUCCUACGGGAGGCAGCAGUGGGGAAUAUUGCACAAUGGGCGGAAGCCUGAUGCAGCAACGCCGCGUGCGGGAUGACGGCCUUCGGGUUGUAAACCGCUUUCGCCUGUGACGAAGCGUGAGUGACGGUAAUGGGUAAAGAAGCACCGGCUAACUACGUG